GAAGAGCAACGAGUAGCCCCACGUCGUCUGACUUCUCCCCGGCGAUCCCCCGCCCGACCGACAGCCCGCCCGCCGCCGCUACUGCUGAUGGAGAAAUGGCGUCCUCUCAGGCGUUCGACCUCUGAGCUCUUCUUCCCGGUGAGCCCCCGCCCGCCCGACAGUCCGUCGUCGCUGCAGCCGACGACGAUAUGGCGUCCUCUCAGGCGCUUGUCGUAUGAGCUCUUCUCCACAGCGAUCCUCUGACUACCGGACAUCCCCACGACAGCCUGCACGCCGCCGCUGCUGACGGCAAGAUGGCGUCCCGCAUCGCCUCUUGCCUCCUCCGCCGCUCUGGCCCUUGAGCAAGACUAUAACUUCCUAAGAGAUUGGGGCAGUGUUGGAUAUCAUAUAAAUUCAGAGAAGCCUAAAACUAGAAGUUGCUAUAUCAAAGGUGAAGAUUCAAACGAAGGUUGAGUACGGGGCCAUUUGAUGUCCCGAUGACUGACUCGGUAGGAGGUAAUCUCUUGGCAUCUUGUAGUUAUUUGGUUACAUUUUAAAGCAUGACUGAACCUGAAGAUAUCGAUGACGAAGUAGCCAAAAAAUGGGAACACACGAUGCUGCAUGAUAGCUUGGGCAAAGAGUUGAAUGAAUUAAACAAACAACCAGAGAAAAAGGAGGUAUGAAUUAUCUUCUUACUCUUGUAUUCUGAUUAUGCUUGACAAGAACCUUACAACAACUUUUCCCAAAUACUUCGAAGUCUGAGAUGAAAGGGUACGAACAUGAUACCCUGUCACUUAAGCAGCACUUCAGUAAAAAAACUUAUGGAGCUCCAAGAAAAGAAAGGCGGUGUACAUUAUGUGUUCAUAUAAAUUUCACAAUUUAGUACAUGUUAGUCAUAAAAUACCGGAACUGCAGAUUCUAGAAUUCAAGAAUAAAAAGGAGAAGUAUUGUCUGUCCUCCUAUCUAAUUGCUUGUUUUCUUAUUGUAGAUCUCAGGCUUCAUAACUUUGGAACAUUCCUUUGGAUUCCUGUGUUGAUUCCUCACCUUUGCUUGUGCUGAACAAUGGGAUGAUGAACAUAUAUAUUGGAUCUCAUUCACAACUACUUCUGUGCAUUGAUGGUUACAGUACCACACGACAAGAAACCCCUGGCGCAGAAAGGAAGCCCUGACGUAUCGAAGCAAAAGGAAGUGCUAUGCUGGUGAAGAACUACUCGGAUUAGCAUAGGGAGCAGUGGAAGAGAGGCAAGAACGAUAAGAAGAUCAAGAAGUAGUAAAUUUUUUGCUAGGGCUUGAAACACUACAAAAUUCCAUGUCCUUGUUGAUGUGUUGUACCAUGAUAAUUUCAGAUAUAGCGGAAGAAAGAAAUGUAUUGACAGAUUGUAACAGUAUAGAUUCAACAACCAUUUUUCUUGUAUCAGGUUUUGCCAUAGAGGCUGCUUAAGCUAACUGCUUCGAAA